CUCACGUGCUUCAAGAGAAAGUAGCCUUUAACUGGAAAGAAGACCGACGGGAACCGGGGAGGGGGAGAGCGGUAGUAGCCGAAGGAAUAAGCUCCCAGCAGGUCUGCGAGCGACUGUCUCCUCCCCCCGGUCCAGGAAAACUGUAAACACGCGCGCUCCGGAAGGCGUCCUGCAGUGGGGACGUUGCCCAGGGGAUGACUGAGCUGUGUGAAGCUCCCUACAAGAGAGAAGGGCUCCAUGCUUAUUGUCUAACUGUCGCUUUGUCGCCCAACAGACUUGGUAUAUAUAUGCCCGUGUUCCCACCUCUUAAGUUUCUAACCGUUGCAACACUUAACAGUGCUUGACUAGCACUCAUUUUCUAGCAAAAACGCUUGUGCCUUUAGAAACCCCCAGAACACGUCUCAUAAGGACUGGGCGCAGGGUCAGGUGGAAGGCGAGUGGAAUGCAGCCGCCCGUUAUUAGGGGAUAACCCAGCAAUAAAGUGCAGAGUGGAGGAUAGACGCGAAGUGAGAUGUAGAGGGUGUUAGGGCUGCCCAGAAGGGAGAGGUUAAAAAGGAAAGGUCAAAAAUGAAGAAGAAAGAGUAACCACAACAGGCAGUACCUAGUUCCAGUUCUUGGUCCCAGGGGUUUGUGGUUGCUGCUGCUUUCAUCUUUCUCUGCCAAAACAAAGGAAAGUGCCAAAGAGUGAUUCCUGAGGACCUUCAAUGCAGUCUCCACCUCGCGGAUUUGGUACAUUUGUGUCCACUCCCUCUCCAACCCUUUACACUUGGUGUCCUCGGAUGAGUAGAAAGGAGCACAAUUAGUGGAAAACACAAGCUGGGGAGUCAAGGGAUUUGGGUUCUAUUCUUGUCGUCCCUUGGUGACGACAUCAUUACCUUGGGUUAUUCACGCUUUCAGUGCCAGAAUUCUUAGAUCAAUAAGAGAUUAUAUUGACCUCUCACAGAAAUGUUUUUGUGUUACUGAAUUCCAAAUAAAGUAUGUGUAGAAAUGUGCUAUA